rnacentral:rRNA from 1 species
GAUGAACGCUGGCGGCGUGCUUAACACAUGCAAGUCGAACGAGAAGUGAAGACGGAAACCUUCGGGCGGAAGGCUUUAUUUCGAGUGGCGGACGGGUGAGUAACGCGUGGGUAACCUGCCUCAUACAGGGGGAUAACAGUUGGAAACGACUGUUAAUACCGCAUAAGACCACAGCACCGCAUGGUGCGGGGGUAAAAACUCCGGUGGUAUGAGAUGGACCCGCGUUCGAUUAGCCAGUUGGCGGGGUAACGGCCCACCAAAGCGACGAUCGAUAGCCGAUCGGAGAGGAAGACCGGCCACAUUGGGACUGAGACACGGCCCAAACUCCUACGGGAGGCAGCAGUGGGGAAUAUUGCACAAUGGGGGAAACCCUGAUGCAGCGACGCCGCGUGAGUGAAGAAGUAUUUCGGUAUGUAAAGCUCUAUCAGCAGGGAAGAAAAUGACGGUACCUGAGUAAGAAGCCCCGGCUAACUACGUG